rnacentral:lncRNA from 1 species
AGCAUAUGGUACGUUUCAUGCAAGCCGUGCACGUAUCUUGCACCGAAACUAACACUAUCUCUAAGUGGAUUGAAAUGACAUUCCAUAUGGCACAUGUCAUCUAGGAGUUCCAUUGGGUGCGUCCAAAUUGAUUUUUGAACAUAUGUUACGUUCCAUGCAAACCUGCAGCUAUCUUGCAUAGAGAUUAGCACUAUCUCAAAAUAGAUCAAACCAAGCUUCCACUUGAGCCCCUUUACCUAGGCGUAUCAUUAGGUGUGUCCAAAAUGGUUCUUAGCCUGUAGUGCACUAGGCGCAAACCGUGCACCUAUCUUGCAUAGAAACUAACAUUGUCUCCAAAUAAAUCAAAGCAAGAUUCCAUAUGACACACGUCAUCCACAAGUUCCAUCAGGUCCGUCUAAAUUGAUUUCCGAGCAUAUUCUAUGUCCAUGCAAACCGUGCUCCUAUCUUACAUCAAAGUUAGCACUACCUCCAAAUAGACCAAACUGUGCUUCCACUUGAGCCUCUUCACCUAGGAUUACCAUCAAGUGUAUCCAAAAUGGUUUCUUAGAUUAUGGUGACUUAGGCGCAAACCGUGCACCUAUAUUGCACCAAAACUAACACUAUGUCCAAAUGAACCGAAGUUAUUCCAUAUGACACACAUCAUCUACAAGUUCUAUCGGGUGUGUCCAAAUUGACUUCUGAGCAUAUGGUAUGUUCCACGCAAAUCGUGCACCAGUCUUGCAUCAAGAUUGGCACUAUCUCCAAAUAGACCAAACCGAGCUUCCAUUUGAGCCUCUUCACCAAAGAGUACCAUCGAGUGCGUCCAAAAAUGGUCUCGUAGACUAUGGUGCAUUAGGUGCAAACCGUGCACCUAUCUUGCACCGAAACUAACACUAUCUCCAAAGUGACCAAACCGAGAUUCCAUAUGACACACAUCAUCUAGGAGUUCCAUUGGGUGUGUCCAAAUUGAUUUCUGAGCAUAUGUUACAUUCCAUGCAAACCUGCACCUUUCUUACAUCAAGAUUAACACUAUCUCUAAACAAAUCAGACCAAGCUUCCACUUGAGCCCCUUUACCUAGGCGUAUCAUUAGGUGUGUCCAAAAUGGUUCUUAGCCUAUGGUGCACUUGGCGUAAACCAUGCACCUAUCUUGCACAGAAACUAACAUUGUCUCCAAACAGACCGAAGCGAGAUUCCAUAUGACACACGUCAUCUACAAGUUCCAUCGGGUUCGUCUAAAUAUUCUAUGUCCAUUCAAACCGUGCUCCUAUCUUGCAUCAAGAUUAGCACUAUCUCCAAAUAGACCAAACUGUGCUUCCACUUGAGCCUCUUAAACUAGGAUUACCAUUAGGUGCAUCCAAAAUGGUUUCUUAGACUAUGGUGAAUUAGGCGCAAACCUGGACCUAUAUUGCACCAAAACUAACACUAUGUCCAAAUGAACCAAAGUGAGUCCAUAUGACACACAUCAUUUGGGAGUUCUAUGAGGUGUGUCCAAAUUGAUUUAUGAGCAUAUGGUAUGUUCCACGCAAACUGUGCACCGAUCUUGUAUCAAGAUUAGCACUAUCUCCAAAUAGACCAAACCGAGCUUCCACUUGAGCCUCUUCACCUAGGAGUACUAUCGAGUGCGUCCAAAAUGGUUUCUUAGACUAUGGUGCAUUAGGUGCAAACCGUGCACCUAUCUUGCACCAAAAUUAACACUAUCUCCAAAGGGACCAAAGCGAGAUUCCAUAUGACACACAUCAUCUAGGAGUUCCAUCGGGUGCAUCCAAAUUGAUUUUCAAGCUUAUGGUACGUUUCAUGCAAACCGUGCACCUAUCUUACAUGAAUAUUAGUACUAUCUCCAAACAGACCAGACCGAGCUUUCACUUGAGCCUCUUCACCCAGGAGUACCAUUGGGUGCUUCCACAUCGGUUUCUAAGCCUAUAGUGCAUUAGGUGCAAUCCGUGCACCUAUCUUGCACCGAAACUAACACUAUCUCUAAGUGGAUUGAAAUGAGAUUCCAAAUGACACACAUCAUCUAGGAGCUCCAUUAGGUGCGUCCAAAUUGAUUUUUGAGCAUAUGUUAUGUUCUAUGCAAACCGUGCACCUAUCUUGCAACAAGAUUAGCAUUAUCUCAAAACAGAUCAAACCAAGCUCCUACUUGAGCCCCUUUACCUAGGAGUACCAUUAGGUGUGUCCAAAAAGUUUCUUAGCCUAUGGUGCAUUAGGCACAAACCAUGCACCUAUCUUGCAUAGAAACUAACAUGAUCUCCAAACAGACCGAAGCAAAAUUCCAUAUGACACACGUCAUCUACGAGUUCCAUCGGGUGCGUCCAAAUUGAUUUCCGAGCAUAUUCUAUGUCCAUGCAAACCGUGCUCCUAUCCUGCAUCGAGAGUAGCACUAUCUCCAAAUAGACCAAACCGAGCUUCCACUUGAGCCUCUUCACCUAGGAGUACCAUCAGGUGCGUCCAAAAUAUUUUCUUAGACUAUGGUGAAUUAGGCGCAAACUUUGCACCUAUCUUGCACCGAAACUAACACUAUGUCUAAAUGAACCAAAGUUAGAUUCCAUGCAACACACAUCAUCUGGGAGUUCUAUUAGGUGUGUCAAAUUAUAUUUCUGAGCAUAUGGUAUGUUCCACACAAACUGUGCACCUAUCGUGCAUCAAGAUUAGCACAAUCUCCAAACAGACCAAACUGAGCUUCCAUUUGAGCCUCUUAAUCUAGGAGUAUCAUUUGGUGCUUCCACAAUAGUUUAUGAACCUAUGGUGCAUUAGGCGCAAACCGUGCACCUAUCUUGCACUGAAACUAACAUUGUCCCCAAAUGAACCGAAGUGAGAUUACAUACGACACAUGUCAUCUAGGAGUUCCGUCGGGUGCGUCCAAAUUGAUUUUCGAGCAUAUGGUAUGUUCCAUGCAAACCAUGCAACUAUCUUUU